rnacentral:lncRNA from 1 species
UCUUCGUUCUUUGUUUAAUAGCAAGUCGAAGAGCAAAAAGUCCUUCAGCUGCCUUGUAAGUAGCAAGCUGAUCUACUAUCUUCUUUUGCAAAUCUUCAUCUGGGUUCAACUUGAUAACAACCUGAUGGAAUCUUGUCCACAGUUCUUUAGCCAAUGAAUUCUUCUCUUGCUGCUCAAAAAAGAGUGAUGGGUUUAGAAUAAGUCCAGCCGCAUGCAAAGGUUUAUGAAGUUGCUCAUUCCAUCUUGCAUCAAU